GUUUAAGCGCCAACUGGGUCUCCUUAAGGCACCCGUGGGAAGAUCAGCGGCAGAACUCGCAAAGGCUGCGGUGCUUGUGAUACUCCUGACAAGGGACGGAUGGACCUGACCUCCGACCUCCAGGUAGUCUCGCUGUGUCACCCAGGCUGGAGUGCAAUGGCGUGAUCUCGGCUCACUGCAACCUCUGCCUCCUGAGUUCAAGCGAUUCUCGUGCUUCAACCUCCUGAGUAGCUGGGAUUACAGGUGUGCACCACUAUGCCCAGCUAAUUUUUUUUUAGUAGAGACGGUGUUUCACUGUGUUAGCCAGGAUGGUCUCUAUCUCCUGACGUGAUCCGCCCACCUCGGCCUCCCAAAGUGCUGAGAUUACAGGCGUGAGCCGCCACACUGGACUCGACUGGCUUCUUUACUGCAACCUGUUUGAUCAGCAAGGUCUUUAUAACUGUAUCUUGGGCUGUUCUCCUGUCUCACCCUGUGACUUAAAAUGCCUUAGCCAUCUGGGAAUGUGGCCCAGUAGGUCUCAUCCCAUUUUACCCAGCCCUUAUUCAAGAUGGAGUUGCUCUGGUUCAAACGCCUCUGAGAGGGGGACAGUCAUUUCAUUUCACACAUGAAAGCAAACCUGGAAUUUUCUCCAUUGGAAGUUCAGUCUUGGCUAACGGCAUGAUUUAGAAAUCAAAGGGGUUUGACCUUCACAUGGAUUUUAACUCUUGGAAAGGUAGCCAUGGGAAAGGACCCCGCCAUUGUAACACAAGAGGAGAGAAUGGGGUAUGGGGCACGUGGCCCUGAAAUGACACAGAACUCUGACAGCACCACCCAGUUGCCAUGUAGCUAGGUAAAUAUUUGCAAAGCACCUACAUCUUCUCCGGAUUUGGGGCAAAUGUCUACUGGGUAUGAAACCAUCUUCGUGGGGAGUCAGCCUUACCCAGUUCUUAUCUCUCUUGAGGUGCAGUUCACCAAAUAUGACACAACGUCCAGAGGCAAGAGGGGCCUGCCAGUUUUUACCUUCCUCUCUCAACUGGCACUGGGACAUUUUAGUGGCCGAGACCAAUGUGUCAUCUGUAGGAGCCCUGGAGACAAAGGGUGGGCCCAAAGGCCCAUCUUCUGAAUAUGAAUUCCUGGCGUUGUCCUUUCUGAGAGCCCAUGAUCAAGAUGCGUUGAGAGGUAGGCCAGCUUGCUGUGUGAGUGUUCCUGUGGCAAUCUGUAAGGAGCACUUCUGUGUCACAGAGCUGCAAUGAGGUGGAAAAUCGUUUUUCUCAGAGCUAUUGGCAGGUGGACUAUUCUUUCAAAAUUUCAAAUAAAAUGUAAAAACAA